CUAAUUACCCAAAAAAAUUUCAUAAAAUAAAAUAACACAGCCUACCAAAAGCAAAUAUUGGUUUCAAUUUGCCCCAACGUAAAGAAUUGCAGCGCUAGGGUUCUCAAUAUUGCUUUCAAUUUCACAAAUUUCCAAUUGCUUUUUCUCCAUUUCACAAUCUCAAAAACUCCGAUAGGCUUUUUCCGAUGAUAAAGCGGUUGUAAACUGGUUUUGUACUAUUUUCCCCUUCAGUUUAUGUUGUUUUAAGUUUUGAUUUUCAACAUAAUCGAUGAAUGGUUAAUUAGAAAAUGGAUUUUCAUCAGCGAUUGCUGAUAAAUUUAUGAAUUAUUCUAUGUAAAUGGGUUCUAUAAAUAAAAAUACAUGUCAAUGUUUCUAUGUUAAGUAAUAAUGAUUUUGAUGUCUUAGCGCAAUGGAAUUACAACACAGCCUAAGGCUGCAGCUUUUGGCCCCAUCUUUAGAAGAGAAAUGCCUGAGAAGCUUCCCUUCAGCGUUUGGAAUGGUUCCGCAAAGGAGAAAUAAAUUGAGAAGUUCUAUUGUCUCUUCCUUGAAAUUGAAUAAUGUUUGUCCGUCGGCGCCAAGAUUUUAGAGGUCCCAAUUAUUGGUAUUCACAUUUUUCAACUUCUAUUGAUGUUGUUUGAACCUCAUCAGCACUGUUAAUCUGUAAUACAUGCUCAUAUUCUUCAAGUGAUUGAUCCAAGUAUUUUCUUUGAAAAAAUGUUAUCUUUUCCCAGUAUACAACAUAGUUGGUUGUCACUAAAUGAUGCUUCAUUCUUCAAGUUCUCAUAUUUGUCAUAGGUAUGUAUUGAGCCCAUUCUUUUUAAUUGGUUCUGAUAACCUCCUCUUUCUAGCUGCCUUUCCAUUUGACACUAUUCUAAUUGCUCGGCUAGAAGUUGUAUUGGUGGAUGACUGAUGUGGAGAGGACUGUUGAGUAGUUAAUGGAUUGUCAUUACGAUAGACAGUUCUUAUAGUUUUUGGAUCACAUAGGUCAGAGCUCCUAAAUUUUAAAGAAAGAAGAAUUGGUUUCUUCUUUUCUUGAUUGCCUUCUUUGCAUAUGUGGAAGAUUGAAUCAAUUCAAUUUCUAAGAAGGACUACUCAUUCUAUAACUUUUUGAGAUAUCCUUCAUCGCAACCACUUAUGUGUCCUCUUUUUGACCUUGCUUGUAGGAGCAAAGCAGAAAGAGAGGUAGCACCAGUGUAUUAAUUUGUUUUCUGUAACCAUGUUGAUCCCCCACCUUCCACUAGGUAUCGGAUAACUUUGUCCAACAAGGCUAUGACAAAUAGGAAGAAAUCCCUUCCCCAUGGUUCUCCAUUUAAUUUAUCUUUGAAGUCUUAACCCCAAUUGAGGAUUAUAUAGUGAUAAGUUCUAUGUUCGUUUGACUUAUUCUUGUGUUUCAUUUCUUUGAUUUUAUUGGUUUUGGUUUUUUGUAUCGUCGGAAAAUAGUUCCAUUUUCUUGUUUUUAUCGGGUUUUAAAUUUUGUGAUCAAUGGUUCGAGCAGUGUAAAGAAAUAUUUAGGCGCGAGUUAAGGUUUUAAUAAACUAUAGCUUUGAGAAUUGAUAGUGCAUUAAUUGAUCUUAGUGCGAGAUGAAAUUUUCCAUGUUUGUUAGAUCUCAGUUAACAUAGUGAAUUGAACUCUAGCCUGUGGAAGUUAGGUAUUCAUAUGUUCCUAUAUGCAAAAUUUAAAUUGUUGAUAUCCACCUUGGUUUCCUAGUAGCUUCUUCAUCGGGGCUUUCCAGAAAAAAUAAAUCGGAGAUUUCUGUCUUGUCCUGUCAGAUAAGAAUAUAUAACAAGUUGAUGGCGGGUGUAAAUGAUGUAAUCAAUUUUUCGGAUUUUGUUAGCUCCUUAAGUUUCGCAUUAUGAGUCAAUUAUGUAGUUUGUACACUUUUGCAUGCUCUGGAUGCUCAUUAAUGAAAUGCUUUUAUUACUAAUAAAAGAAAAGAUAGUGGAUUCUAGGAUAAACUCAAUUGCUUACCCUGAUUAUGGAUUUUUAUUAUAAUACUGGUGAUGUUCACAGUAUGUUAGCUGCUUCUUUCUCCUAAAGUCCCAGCUUAUAAAGAAAUAGAAUCUGCACUGUAAACUUAUGAGGUUGUUACUCCUUAAUCUUGCGGGUCUUUUCCUGAUAAAGCUGCAUCACUGGCCACAAAGAUCGUGAAUAAGCUUGGUAAGGUUAGUCCUAUGUGAAGUUACAAUCUUUUUUCUUCAAUUGGUAAAAGUGGGAAUCUUUAUAAGGGUCUGUCUGCAAGGAUCUAGUUUACAUAUAGUGAAGUCUUGAAAAGUUAGGACUUUACCUUUCAACUCCUGCAACUAUUCCUCCCACUAAAAAAUUUGGGAGUCUUAAGGUAGACAAAAGGAUCAUUGGUGGGUUGUGAAAGCUUUACUAUAUGGAUAAUCUUAUUUAAAUUUCAUGGGAAACUAAGAGCUCUCUAUUUCUCUCCUUCAGCAAGGUCUGUAACCCUCACCAGGGGGACCCACAUAGGUUCAAAUGGGUUCAUAUGAACCCACUUCGUCGAAAAAUUACACAUCGUCAAACUUUCAUAGAAAUAAUGAGUUUUUCAAUAGUAUAAUUUUUCAACGAAUAAGAUUCAGUUUGGUUUGAAAUCUAGUCACGUACAUAUCAAGAUUAGUUUUAGUAAAAUUUCAUACCUAUAAGGCUAGAACAUAUCCAAUAUGAUGAGUUCUUCUCUGUCUUAUGAAUGCCCAAUGCCAGUCAUAUUUAUUAGACCACUUGUCCAUUUUUCAUUAUCAAACUGAAGCUUAAUUACUGCUUUAUAUACUUUACAUCAUAGCCUAAACCAUCCAUCUAUGGGAAAUAAGCUAUUCUUCUUUUUAGCAGUUUGUAUAUGGAAUAUAUUAGUUAGGUAUAGCUGUUGUGAUGCAAGAAUGGGAUAAGGUUGUACUCACUACUUGUUGAAGAUUUAAUGUGAAUAACAUGUGCUCCUUCAUGCUAUGUUUGCGGAACUCUUUGUAAUUGGACUAUCUAUAGUAUUAGAAAGCUAGAGUACCUAUCUUCUAUAGUUGGUCAAUGUUAAAAACUCAGAUUUCAUUAGUUGAGCCGGUACAAUGAGAAGACAUUAGAAGAAUACAACAUUUGAGAUGCUAAAAAAAAGGAGAACUGCAACCUCCUCCCGGUCAUAUUUUAGUUGGUCCUAUGGAAUCAGUCGAGGAGUGCGCAAGCUGGCCCGGACAUUACAGUUGCUAGAAAAAAAAUAAGAAGUUUUGUAGGGAUGUUGAUUGCUGUUUGAUUCCAGAGUCACCCUUCUUUCUUGAAGGAAGUGGUGGUCUCUUCAAAUUCGUUAAGAAAAGGAUCAGAGAGGAAGGACACAUGGUUAUUGUGAUUGCCGAAGGAGAUGGGUAGGAACUUCUUGCAGCAAAGAAUUCCCAUGCUAGAAGCAACUCAUUAUUCUUCAGUCUCGGUUGAAUGAGUUAUUUCUGGAACUAUUUGGUUGGAGAACCGAGUACACCGUGGGACAUAUUUCUGAGGUGCAAUCACAGAGUAGGAAAAUUGAAAGUAUAAUUGUUGAAGAAUUUUGUCAGGGUCUGCUGAGUCAAAGUUUUGAUUUAUUGCUUUCUUGAUAGUUUCUAUGAAGAUAUGAAGUCUGAUAUCCAUGCAAACACUACAGGUGAGCAUUAUUGUAGCGACAUCUAUUCUUGAAGAAGGCUUGGAUGUUCAAAGUUGCAACAUUGUCAUUCGAUUCAAUCCCUCAAUUACUGCUUGUAGCUAUAUACAAUCUCGUGGGCGAGCUCGAAUACAGAACUCUGACUUUCUUCUGAUGGUCAUAAGAUGAUGUUGGUGCGCACCUUUCUUCUGAUUCUGGAAACGCUUGGGAUCUGGCUACAGCAUGUCCAAAUGGUACAGGGGAGUUAGCAUCUACUUAUAUAGAAGCUGGAAACCCUUAUACUACUAAUAAAGUCUCUACCCAGCAAGAAGGUGCAACUGCUAUAUCAUAUGACGCCAGCCAGGAUCUUGCAACUCUAGGAGAUACACCCAUAGGUUCAUUCCAAGUUACUGACUAUGAAUCUUCUACAAAUGGAAACAACACUGCUGAAGCAAGAGACAUUGCAGCUGUUGGAAUUGCUGUAAAUGGGAUUGCAUCAGAUGUUCAUGGAAGUUCCAAUAUGCAUCAGCCAAAGGAUGGCCUAGUUUUAUCUCCUGAAGAGGAAAGAUUAUGGAGCAAAGUAAGGACAAAUUCUUUAAACUUCCGUGCCUGGUCUGCCCUUAUUGAGGAAAUAAAGUUGUCAGAGGUACUUUAACUGACCUUCUGUCGAGUGGAUUUGUCACCUUGGCAUUCUUCAUUUUCUGGUAUUACUUUUUGUUAUUGAGAAAAUAGCGUUUCUGAUUGUUGUAAAAAAAAUAGUGUUUCUUAUUGUUCUCUUUAUAUUUUAAUAUGCUUCUCUUUCUGUCCAACUGGUAAGAACCUAUUAGAGAGGUACUGUCUUUUCUGAUCUUUUGCAAACCAGACUUUCAUGCUAGGGAGAAGGAUAGCGUGUGGCGCAAAAUUUCUCAAGAUCAAAUUUGAAUGGUGGGCAGUACAACUCAACUUGAUCUAGAUUGAAGUGAAUAAUGAAGAAUUUUUGAAAUAUUUUGAUAUACGUUUAUAUACAUUUGGUUCUGUUGAAGCUUGAUGCAAAUUUUUAUUAUGUUGCUUUCUAAUUAGUAUGUAAAAGACAUUUUUUUAAAAAAUCAAAUCUAUGCACUUCAAUUUUUUAUUUGCUAA